AUUCUAUUCCUCAGAAGUUCAUGUUCUCCCUCUCUUCUGCUAGAGGACAUGAGACAGACAAGCCCUAAGCAGGCUUCACAUCCCUUUGGGUCAUGUCUGCACUGUGGAGGUGACACUUCCAAGGCCUAGGAUUCCAAACUGAGUGGAGGGAUGCAGAUGGAAGGACGUCUGACUGCAUACAACAGCAAACUACCUAGGCCAUGACUUCUGGGGCUUUCCCUGGGGCUGCCACACCACAUGCUUCUCCCUUUCCUCUUCCCUUGUAUCUUACAGUUCUCCUGAUCUGUCAUUUGCUGCAGAGUCUCUGUGAUGUUGGGGAUCUCCACUGGACCCCAGGUGGUCUCCUUCUGCUCAGCAUCUGUCACCACAUGUUCCCCUGCAAGCUGGCCUUCAUGUGUGGGCCCCAUUCCCUCGGCGGGAAAGCACUAUUCUUUUCAGGUUCCAAAAUAGUUUCUCGAAGUUGA